rnacentral:rRNA from 1 species
GACGAACGCUGGCGGCGUGCUUAACACAUGCAAGUCGAACGGUAAGGCCCUUCGGGGUACACGAGUGGCGAACGGGUGAGUAACACAUGGGUGAUCUGCCCUGCACUUCGGGAUAAGCCUGGGAAACUGGGUCUAAUACCGGAUAGGACUCCGGACUGCAUGGUCUGGGGUGGAAAGCUUUUGCGGUGUGGGAUGGGCCCGCGGCCUAUCAGCUUGUUGGUGGGGUGAUGGCCUACCAAGGCGACGACGGGUAGCCGGCCUGAGAGGGUGACCGGCCACACUGGGACUGAGACACGGCCCAGACUCCUACGGGAGGCAGCAGUGGGGAAUAUUGCACAAUGGGCGCGAGCCUGAUGCAGCGACGCCGCGUGAGGGAUGACGGCCUUCGGGUUGUAAACCUCUUUCAGCAUCGACGAAGCGAAAGUGACGGUAGGUGCAGAAGAAGGACCGGCCAACUACGUGCCAGCCGCCGCAGUAA